rnacentral:rRNA from 1 species
AAUCCUACGGGAGGCAGCAGUGGGGGAUAUUGCACAAUGGGGGGAACCCUGAUGCAGCGACGCCGCGUGGGUGAAGAAGCGCCUCGGCGCGUAAAGCCCUGUCAGCAGGGAAGAAAAUGACGGUACCUGAAGAAGAAGCCCCGGCUAACUACGUGCCAGCAGCCGCGGUAAUACGUAGGUGGCGAGCGUUAUCCGGAAUGAUUGGGCGUAAAGGGUGCGCAGGCGGUCCUGCAAGUCUGGAGUGAAACGC